UACGUAGGGGGCAAGCGUUGUCCGGAUUUAUUGGGCGUAAAGGGCUUGUAGGCGGCCAACUAAGUCCGACGUGAAAUCCCCAGGCUUAACCUGGGAACUGCGUCGGAUACUGGAUGGCUUGAAUUCGGGAGAGGGAUGCAGAAUUCCAGGUGUAGCGGUGAAAUGCGUAGAUAUCUGGAGGAAUACCGGUGGCGAAGGCGGCAUCCUGGACCGACAUUGACGCUGAGGAGCGAAAGCUAGGGGAGCAAACGGG
rnacentral:rRNA from 1 species